rnacentral:snoRNA from 1 species
CCCCUCUCAGGGACACACCUGGAGAGUUUCCAGUCCUCUACCAGCAAUGACUGCAGGAGGGAGAGUCAAACUGAGGCAUACCCAUUCCAUUCCUGGCUUGGCCAGUGGCUAGUGAGUGGAAGGCAAUCUGCUACAAAU